rnacentral:lncRNA from 1 species
GAGAAAGCACUUAAGGAUGCUUGCUUGGGAGUGGAGAGGGGAGGACGAAUAUCUAAUGGAUUUUUUAUUGCUCGUCAGCCUUUUAGACUUCUGUGCCCCUGCUCCCCCCACUGCAUUCAGAUAUUAAUGGUCCUUUCCUUCCCCCCCCACCUUUCCUCCCAGAUGCUAUUGCUAAAAUUUGCUUGCUUUUAUUUCUGAAAUGUUCAACAGUUUGCUCUGCUCUGACUUCCUCUUAUCCUCCCCCACUCUUCAUUUCCUUGCUGACUCUGCUCUUUUGUUGCUGGAGAAUGAGAAUAAAAACCAGGAGCUUCAAGAAGGAAUUUCAAUAGUGUGAAUUUCGCUCGACUACAAAUGGACAAGGGAGACUCCUUGCUCGCCCCGUCUGCCUGCUGUAAGCACACAAACCCGNCCUUGCAGCCGGCGAAGUCCUUCUCUCAGCCAAGCAUUCGCCCGCCGAGAACUCGAGAACAAAGCGAAGCUCCUACUUCUGUUUCUACCGGAGNCUUUGAACUGACUGCCGAAGCAGCCGCCCACCGCCACAGCUGGUGUGGAAGCAGGCCUGUAGCCACCCCCCACCAUUUUUUGCCCUCCCCCAGAAAGCUUGUCCUGNGUAUUUUUUUCUAUUAUACUAAUGUAGAAUGGUUACAGAAAAAAUGUGACAUAUUACUCAUUCANCCCCAAAUUUGUGACAGCCCACUCCAGAUAUGGAGCUGGCUACGGGCCU